GACGGUGACCGCAACUGUAGUAAAAGAAAGAAGAUUUCAAAAAUUAUUUAGAGGAAAUAUGAAGCGAUUUAUGCGUUUGAUCAAACAGGAAAUGAAAUUGAGCGACAAUUUAUUGGAAAUUGAAGAAUCGUACCAGGAAAUAAAAGAAAACAAUAUUGAAUUUAAGAUAGCCCUAAUGAAGCUAUUAGAA